AGUGAACGCUGGCGGUAGGCCUAACACAUGCAAGUCGAACGGCAGCACAGAGGAGCUUGCUCCUUGGGUGGCGAGUGGCGGACGGGUGAGGAAAUACAUCGGAAUCUACUCUGUCGUGGGGGAUAACGUAGGGAAACUUACGCUAAUACCGCAUACGACCUACGGGUGAAAGCAGGGGAUCUUCGGACCUUGCGCGAUUGAAUGAGCCGAUGUCGGAUUGGCUAGUUGGCGGGGUAAAGGCCCACCAAGGCGACGAUCCGUAGCUGGUCUGAGAGGAUGAUCAGCCACACUGGAACUGAGACACGGUCCAGACUCCUACGGGAGGCAGCAGUGGGGAAUAUUGGACAAUGGGCGCAAGCCUGAUCCAGCCAUACCGCGUGGGUGAAGAAGGCCUUCGGGUUGUAAAGCCCUUUUGUUGGGAAAGAAAUCCAUCUGGUUAAUACCCGGGUGGGAUGAUGGUACCCAAAGAAUAAGCACCGGCUAACUUCGUGCCAGCAGCCGCCGUAA
rnacentral:rRNA from 1 species